CAUAAAUCGUUCAAUGAUUCACAGCCAGAUUCAAGGACUUUCAUUCGGAUUUCUUAAUCGUUAAGGUAAACUUGAGCGGACAUUUGACCGGAUUCGAUUAACUAGUGACCGGAUAAGUGACCGAUUUAUCUAAAUCGUUCGAUUGGCUUGAUCGGAGUCCACUUUAUCGCCUGGCAUCACAGGUUCAUAUCAGAUUGUGCAAUAUGGAAGCUGAUGGUAGAGUUCUCUAAAUUGGAUAGCAGCCUGUUUAAAUCGCUCAAGAAAUCAGGUGGACAAACUCAGUCAACAGUGGAGAAGAAGGUGUUUGCUGUUCUUCAAACAUGCUUGCUGUCAUAAGCCACUAAUGCCCAGAUCUCAUAGGUUUAAGCAGUGACAGGUACAUCAAAGGCUACUUGGAACUUUGUGACAGAUUUGAAGCAGAUUUUGCAAAGUUGUUUGAAGAGAUUUUGCAAAGAAGUCACUAAGAUUCAUCWUGGAAAGGAGGAUCAAGUGUGGAAUGAGGAUUUGAAGCCUGCUGGUUCUUGUUAAAACAAUGUUUUUGUCUUAACUGUUUUUG